CAGGUAUGAGCCACCAUGCCUGGCUGCUCCUAUUGUUUUCAGUUCAUGAGCUCUUCAAGAUUGGGCCUUGCCCUUUGUAUUUUCAUUUCUGGAGCCUGGAAUAUCACUCAGCACAAAGUAUAUACUCAAUAAAGGUUUUCCUGGCCAGAACCAUGAUUUCAUUGGAACAGCAAUAUGCCCAGUCCCGGAGAAGGCAUCAUGAGUUCUCUAUGCCAGUUUUAGCAAUCCAUAGUGGCUGGAGUGUGAUGCAGAAUCUGGCCAAUGAAACCUAAGGAGAAGUCUGCUGGGAGGUUCUUCCUUGAUCAGGAAAAACAACAACAAGAACAACAACAACAACAACAAAAAACAAAGAACAAAAAAAGGAUAGCAUAGAGAGAAGAUUCUCGUGUUAUGGAUGCUGUGAAAAUAAGAUGCCUUUAGAGAUGUCAGCAUCUUGUAAUCGGAAGUAACAAACCUGAGGUCAAUUGCUAGCUGAUGAAGACUGGAGGAAUAGGAAGAUAAAAAGGGCUUGGCUCUUUGAUGGAACUGUUGAAUCCUCAAGUUGACUUGAUGGCUGCC
rnacentral:lncRNA from 1 species